GAUGAACGCUGGCGGCGUGCUUAACACAUGCAAGUCGAACGGUGAAGGCGGAGCUUGCUCUGCUGGAUCAGUGGCGAACGGGUGAGUAACACGUGAGCAAUCUGCCCCUGACUCUGGGAUAAGCGCUGGAAACGGCGUCUAAUACUGGAUACGAGCUGCGAAGGCAUCUUCAGCAGCUGGAAAGAACUUCGGUCAGGGAUGAGCUCGCGGCCUAUCAGUUUGUUGGUGAGGUAACGGCUCACCAAGGCGUCGACGGGUAGCCGGCCUGAGAGGGUGACCGGCCACACUGGGACUGAGACACGGCCCAGACUCCUACGGGAGGCAGCAGUGGAGAAUAUUGCACAAUGGGCGAAAGCCUGAUGCAGCAACGCCGCGUGAGGGACGACGGCCUUCGGGUUGUAAACCUCUUUUAGCAGGGAAGAAGCGAAAGUGACGGUACCUGCAGAAAAAGCGCCGGCUAACUACGUG
rnacentral:rRNA from 1 species